UACGUAGGGGGCUAGCGUUGUCCGGAAUCAUUGGGCGUAAAGCGCGCGUAGGCGGCUCGGUAAGUCCGCUGUGAAAGUCCAGGGCUCAACCCUGGAAAGCCGGUGGAUACUGUCGGGCUCGAGUCCGGAAGAGGCGAGUGGAAUUCCUGGUGUAGCGGUGGAAUGCGCAGAUAUCAGGAGGAACACCGAUUGCGAAGGCAGCUCGCUGGGACGUUACUGACGCUGAGACGCGAAAGCGUGGGGAGCAAACAGG
rnacentral:rRNA from 1 species